AUUGAACGCUGGCGGCAGGCUUAACACAUGCAAGUCGAGCGGUAACAUUUCUAGCUUGCUAGAAGAUGACGAGCGGCGGACGGGUGAGUAAUGCUUGGGAAUAUGCCUUAUGGUGGGGGACAACAGUUGGAAACGACUGCUAAUACCGCAUAAUGUCUACGGACCAAAGGGGGGGAUCUUCGGACCUCUCGCCAUUUGAUUAGCCCAAGUGAGAUUAGCUAGUUGGUGAGGUAAUGGCUCACCAAGGCGACGAUCUCUAGCUGGUUUGAGAGGAUGAUCAGCCACACUGGGACUGAGACACGGCCCAGACUCCUACGGGAGGCAGCAGUGGGGAAUAUUGCACAAUGGGCGCAAGCCUGAUGCAGCCAUGCCGCGUGUGUGAAGAAGGCCUUCGGGUUGUAAAGCACUUUCAGUAAGGAGGAAAGGGAUGUAGUUAAUAACUGCAUUCUGUGACGUUACUUACAGAAGAAGCACCGGCUAACUUCGUGCCAGCAGCCGCGGUAAUACGAGGGGUGCAAGCGUUAAUCGGAAUUACUGGGCGUAAAGCGUUCGUAGGCGGUUGAUUAAGCAAGAUGUGAAAGCCCAGGGCUCAACCUUGGAACUGCAUUUUGAACUGGUCAACUAGAGUACUGUAGAGGGUGGUGGAAUUUCCAGUGUAGCGGUGAAAUGCGUAGAGAUUGGAAGGAACAUCAGUGGCGAAAGCGGCCACCUGGACAGAUACUGACGCUGAGGAACGAAAGCGUGGGGAGCGAACAGGAUUAGAUACCCUGGUAGUCCACGCCGUAAACGAUGUCAACUAGCCGUUUGUGUCCUAGAGACGUGAGUGGCGCAGCU
rnacentral:rRNA from 1 species